rnacentral:rRNA from 1 species
GGACUACUCGGGUAUCUAAUCCCAUUCGCUCCCCACGCUCUCGUCCUAGCAGUGUCAGGUGGCACCCAGAAGCCUGCCUACGCUAUUGGUGUUCCGAACGAUAUCAACGCAUUUCACUACUACACCGUUCGUUCCAGCUUCCUCUUUGCCCCUCUAGCUUUGCAGUUUCAAAAGACAUUCUCCCAGUUAAGCUGAGAGAUUUCACUUCUGACUUGCAAAGCCACCUAUCGGUACGCUUUACGCCCAAUGAUUCCGGAUAACGCUUGAGGUCUCUGUAUUACCGCGGCUGCUGGCAC